rnacentral:lncRNA from 1 species
GGGUUCUAGAAGCCUGGAGUGUGAGUGUGAGAACCUGGCAGACGAAGAGGUGAAAGCUAUGUGAGAAGUCAAGGUUUCUCAACCCUGAGAAGGAAGCAGGUGAAAUAGUAAACCUCCUGCCAGAAGCUUUGAUAACAGCAUUGUUCAUCUGCCAGCAGGUGUCUUGUGUGUCCCCUUGAGGACGGUCACACAGACAUCUCAUUGCUCCGGGGACGUGGCCUCAGGUCCCGCCUCCAAGUCUUUGGCCUCGAGAGCCCUUGCUGACUUCGCUGACCCGGAGCCUGGCUCCCCACAGCCUCCUGGGCCCGAGUGCGGCACUGUCGACAAUGCUGUCUCCAUCAGCCCCAUCACCUGCCCUUGUCUUGUUCUUACAUUCUGGAACAUUCUGGGCAGAAGUUUUAGCCAAAUGCCAGUAUAACGCCAUGCACUAGGUCAGAGUGUUCUUGGGUGCCAUUGAACAAUGGGAAUUGGCAAAAAUGCGUCAUCAGUUUGCCAGUGGCAAGAACCCCCAAGUCAAGUGGCAAAUGCCCCUGAUGCAGGACAGGCAGGAAGAAAGUUCUGCCCAAAGUCUAAGCGUCUUCUAGGCAAGGAGGCCCUGCGCGGCGGUGUGGGGUCUCACGAUGCCGGCAACAGCGAGGGGUGUGAAGACGUGGUCUUCCAAACAGUCUACCCUGAUUUUUUACAAGACCACUGA